UAUCUGCAGUCGAGCGGACAGAAGGGAGCUUGCUCCCGGAUGUUAGCGGCGGACGGGUGAGUAACACGUGGGUAACCUGCCUGUAAGACUGGGAUAACUCCGGGAAACCGGAGCUAAUACCGGAUAGUUCCUUGAACCGCAUGGUUCAAGGAUGAAAGACGGUUUCGGCUGUCACUUACAGAUGGACCCGCGGCGCAUUAGCUAGUUGGUGAGGUAACGGCUCACCAAGGCGACGAUGCGUAGCCGACCUGAGAGGGUGAUCGGCCACACUGGGACUGAGACACGGCCCAGACUCCUACGGGAGGCAGCAGUAGGGAAUCUUCCGCAAUGGACGAAAGUCUGACGGAGCAACGCCGCGUGAGUGAUGAAGGUUUUCGGAUCGUAAAGCUCUGUUGUUAGGGAAGAACAAGUGCAAGAGUAACUGCUUGCACCUUGACGGUACCUAACCAGAAAGCCACGGCUAACUACGUGCCAGCAGCCGCGGUAAUACGUAGGUGGCAAGCGUUGUCCGGAAUUAUUGGGCGUAAAGGGCUCGCAGGCGGUUUCUUAAGUCUGAUGUGAAAGCCCCCGACUCAACCGGGGAGGGUCAUUGGAAACUGGGAAACUUGAGUGCAGAAGAGGAGAGUGGAAUUCCACGUGUAGCGGUGAAAUGCGUAGAGAUGUGGAGGAACACCAGUGGCGAAGGCGACUCUCUGGUCUGUAACUGACGCUGAGGAGCGAAAGCGUGGGGAGCGAACAGGAUUAGAUACCCUGGUAGUCCACGCCGUAAACGAUGAGUGCUAAGUGUUAGGGGGUUUCCGCCCCUUAGUGCUGCAGCUAACGCAUUAAGCACUCCGCCUGGGGGAGUACGG
rnacentral:rRNA from 1 species